CAUUGUUGGAAUUAUCGUAGGGCUGGCUCUUCUCCUCGUCAUUAUACUGGCAGUGGUGUGGUGUCAAAGAAGGCACAAGCCUACAGAUACAGAGGAAGGUAUUCACUAUGGAUCCAUCCCCUUCCAGCCUAAAGCAACUGGUGGCAGCAGCGAUAAUACACUGUCCUCCAAUCAAGCAUCAGGCACUAACCUUGUUUCUUCAAAGGAAGAUGAGUCUGUUAUCUAUGCUGAAACAGCAAAAACAUAAACAUGAAGAGAGUGGAAAGUAAAGGCUUGGACUUUGACAAGCGCAACGUUGCCAUUUUUGGAAUUGAAUUUUUUACUUCAUCUAUAUUACUAAAACUAAGAUCUUGACCAAUUUCUGACUUUCUAUUUCGUGAUUUCUGAAAGAACGCCGCCACUUACGGCCGUGAUUUUUGGCCACCUCGCUCAGA